GCUAGGCACGGUGGCGCGUGCCUGUAGUCCCAGCUACUCAGGAGGCUGAGGUGGGAGGAUCGCUUGAGCCCAGGAGUUCUGGGCUGUAGUGCACUAUGCUGAUCAGAUGUCUGCACUAAGUUCGGCAUCAGUAUGGUGACCUCCCGGGAGCGGGAGACGACCAGGUUGCCUAAGGAGGGGUGAACCGGCCCAGGCUGGAAACGGAGCAGGUCAAAACUCCCAUACUGAUCAGUAGUGGGAUCACGCCUGUGCAUAGCCAUUGCACUCCAGCCUGGGCAACAUAGCGAGACUCUGUCUCU
rnacentral:SRP_RNA from 1 species